AGGAGAUACGCUCCCAACCCCUGUGACAUACCAAUUGUUGCCUCGGCGGAUCAGCCCGCUCCCGGUAAAACGGGACGGCCCGCCAGAGGACCCCUAAACUCUGUUUCUAUAUGUAACUUCUGAGUAAAACCAUAAAUAAAUCAAAACUUUCAACAACGGAUCUCUUGGUUCUGGCAUCGAUGAAGAACGCAGCAAAAUGCGAUAAGUAAUGUGAAUUGCAGAAUUCAGUGAAUCAUCGAAUCUUUGAACGCACAUUGCGCCCGCCAGUAUUCUGGCGGGCAUGCCUGUUCGAGCGUCAUUUCAACCCUCAAGCCCAGCUUGGUGUUGGGACUCGCGAGUCAAAUCGCGUUCCCCAAAUUGAUUGGCGGUCACGUCGAGCUUCCAUAGCGUAGUAGUAAAACCCUCGUUACUGGUAAUCGUCGCGGCCACGCCGUUAAACCCCAACUUCUGAAUGUUGACCUCGGAUCAGGUAGGAAUACCCGCUGAACUUAAGCAUAUCAAAAGGCCGGAGGAA
rnacentral:rRNA from 1 species